rnacentral:rRNA from 1 species
UACGUAGGGGGCAAGCGUUGUCCGGAAUCAUUGGGCGUAAAGAGCGUGUAGGCGGCCAGAUAAGUCCGCUGUGAAAACUCGAGGCUCAACUUCGAGCUGUCGGUGGAAACUAUUUGGCUAGAGUCCGGAAGAGGAGAGUAGAAUUCCUGGUGUAGCGGUGAAAUGCGCAGAUAUCAGGAAGAACACCCGUGGCGAAGGCGGCUCUCUGGUACGGAACUGACGCUGAGACGCGAAAGCGUGGGGAGCGAACAGG